rnacentral:rRNA from 1 species
AUUGAACGCUGGCGGCAGGCCUAACACAUGCGAGUCGAGCGGAUGAAGGGAGCUUGCUCCUGGAUUCAGCGGCGGACGGGUGAGUAAUGCCUAGGAAUCUGCCUGGUAGUGGGGGAUAACGUCCGGAAACGGGCGCUAAUACCGCAUACGUCCUGAGGGAGAAAGUGGGGGAUCUUAGGACCUCACGCUAUCAGAUGAGCCUAGGUCGGAUUAGCUAGUUGGUGGGGUAAAGGCCUACCAAGGCGACGAUCCGUAACUGGUCUGAGAGGAUGAUCAGUCACACUGGAACUGAGACACGGUCCAGACUCCUACGGGAGGCAGCAGUGGGGAAUAUUGGACAAUGGGCGAAAGCCUGAUCCAGCCAUGCCGCGUGUGUGAAGAAGGUCUUCGGAUUGUAAAGCACUUUAAGUUGGGAGGAAGGGCAGUAAGUUAAUACCUUGCUGUUUUGACGUUACCAACAGAAUAAGCACCGGCUAACUUCGUG